rnacentral:rRNA from 1 species
UUACCCUACGGGGGGCAGCAGUGAGGAAUAUUGGUCAAUGGGCGAGAGCCUGAACCAGCCAAGUCGCGUGAGGGAAGACGGUCCUAUGGAUUGUAAACCUCUUUUGCCGGGGAGCAAAAAGCGGUACGUGUACCGCAUCGAGAGUACCCGGAGAAAAAGCAUCGGCUAACUCCGUGCCAGCAGCCGCGGUAAUACGGAGGAUGCGAGCGUUAUCCGGAUUUAUUGGGUUUAAAGGGUGCGUAGGCGGUUUGUCAAGUCAGCGGUAAAAAUUCCGGGCUCAACCCGGUCCCGCCGUUGAAACUGGG